AGUGAACGCUGGCGGUAGGCCUAACACAUGCAAGUCGAACGGCAGCACAGUAAGAGCUUGCUCUUACGGGUGGCGAGUGGCGGACGGGUGAGGAAUACAUCGGAAUCUACUUUUUCGUGGGGGAUAACGUAGGGAAACUUACGCUAAUACCGCAUACGACCUACGGGUGAAAGCAGGGGAUCUUCGGACCUUGCGCGAUUGAAUGAGCCGAUGUCGGAUUAGCUAGUUGGUGGGGUAAAGGCCCACCAAGGCGACGAUCCGUAGCUGGUCUGAGAGGAUGAUCAGCCACACUGGAACGGAGCCACGGUCCAGACUCCUACGGGAGGCAGCAGUGGGGAAUAUUGGACAAUGGGCGCAAGCCUGCUCCAGCCAUACCGCGUGGGUGAAGAAGGCCUUCGGGUUGUAAAGCCCUUUUGUUGGGAAAGAAAAGCAGCAGGUUAAUACCCCGCUGUUCUGACGGUACCCAAAGAAUAAGCACCGGCUAACUUCGUG
rnacentral:rRNA from 1 species